rnacentral:rRNA from 1 species
AGUGAACGCUGGCGGUAGGCCUAACACAUGCAAGUCGAACGGCAGCACAGUAAGAGCUUGCUCUUACGGGUGGCGAGUGGCGGACGGGUGAGGAAUACAUCGGAAUCUACUUUUUCGUGGGGGAUAACGUAGGGAAACUUACGCUAAUACCGCAUACGACCUACGGGUGAAAGCAGGGGAUCUUCGGACCUUGCGCGAUUGAAUGAGCCGAUGUCGGAUUAGCUAGUUGGCGGGGUAAAGGCCCACCAAGGCGACGAUCCGUAGCAGGUCUGAGAGGAUGAUCAGCCACACUGGAACUGAGACACGGUCCAGACUCCUACGGGAGGCAGCAGUGGGGAAUAUUGGACAAAGGGCGCAAGCCUGAUCCAGCCAUACCGCGUGGGUGAAGAAGGCCUUCGGGUUGUAAAGCCCUUUUGUUGGGAAAGAAAAGCAGCAGGUUAAUACCCCGCUGUUCUGACGGUACCCAAAGAAUAAGCACCGGCUAACUUCGUG